CAAUGGGCGAAAGCCUGACGGAGCAAUGCCGCGUGUGGGAUGAAGGCCCUCGGGUUGUAAACCACUGUCAGUAGGGAGGAAAUUUUGACCGAUCUACAGAGGAAGUCCGGGCUAAGUACGUGCCAGCAGCCGCGGUAAUACGUACCGGACAAACGUUAUUCGGAAUCACUGGGCUUAAAGAGUACGUAGGCUGCCAUGUAGGUGAGAUGUGAAAUCCGACGGCCCAACCGUCGAACUGCGUUUCAAACCACAUGGCUUGAGGGAGACAGGGGUAAGCGGAACUCACAGUGGAGCGGUGAAAUGCGUUGAUAUUGUGAGGAACACCGGUGGCGAAGGCGGCUUACUGGGUCUUUUCUGACGCUGAGGUACGAAAGCUAGGGUAGCGAAAGGGAUUAGAUACCCUGUAGUCAAUCACUAGUG
rnacentral:rRNA from 1 species